rnacentral:rRNA from 1 species
UCUUCCGCAAUGGACGAAAGUCUGACGGAGCAACGCCGCGUGAGUGAAGAAGGUCUUCGGAUNGUAAAGCUCUGUUGUUAGGGAANNAANNNUNUCGGAGGAAAUGCCGGUACCUUGACGGUACCUGACGNNNANGNCACGGCUAACUACGUGCCAGCAGCCGCGGUAAUACGUAGGUGGCAAGCGUUGUCCGGAAUUAUUGGGCGUAAAGCGCGCGCAGGCGGUCCUUUAAGUCUGAUGUGAAAUCUUGCGGCUCAACCGCAAGCGGUCAUUGGAAACUGGGGGACUUGAGUGCAGAAGAGGAAAGCGGAAUUCCACGUGUAGCGGUGAAAUGCGUAGAGAUGUGGAGGAACACCAGUGGCGAAGGCGGCUUUCUGGUCUGUAACUGACGCUGAGGCGCGAAAGCGUGGGGAGCAAACAGG